CUUGAGUGCUGAUUGAAGCUUUGCCCGCACUCAGAGCAUGCGUAGGGCAUCUCCCUUGUGUGGAUUCUCUGAUGUGUGAUAAGGGUAGAGCUCCGACUGAAGCUUUUCCCACACUCAGUGCAUGUGUAGGGCGUCUCUCCUGUGUGGAUUCUACGAUGUGUGUUCAGGGUAGAGCUCCGAUUGAAGCUUUUCCCACACUCAGUGCAUGUGUAGGGCUUCUCUCCUGUGUGGAUUCUCUGAUGUCCGACAAGGUGUGAGCGCCGACUAAAGCUUUUCCCACACUCAGUGCACGUGUACAACGUCUCUCCUGUGUGGAUUCUCUCAUGUCCGAUAAGGUUUGAGCUCCAAAUAAAGCUUUUCCCACACUCAGCGCACUUAUAAGGCGUCUCUCCUGUGUGGAUUCUCUGGUGUCCGAUAAGGUAUGAGCUCCAACUAAAGCUUUUCCCGCACUCUGAGCAUGUGUAGGGCUUCUCUCCUGUGUGGAUUCUCUGAUGUGUGAUAAGGUCUGAGCGCCAACGAAAGCUUAUGCCACACUCAGUGCACGUGUAGGGCGUCUCUCCUGUGUGGAUUCUACGAUGUGUGUUCAGGGUAGAGCUCUGACUGAAGCUUUUCCCACACUCAGAGCACGUGUACGGCGUCUCUCCUGUGUGGAUUCUACGAUGUCUGACAAGGGUAGAGCUCCAACUGAAGCUUUUCCCACACUCAUGGCACAUGUAGCGUGUCUCUUCCAAGUUGAUUCUGCCGCUUGUUAUAAGGUCUGAGAGGCUACUAAAGUUUCCCUCUGGCCUCCCCUGAGUCUCACAGGCUUUUGGUUUUUCUGGGAGUGCACAACUCCUGGAAACAUUCUCUUUGGA